rnacentral:rRNA from 1 species
CGAAAAAUAAUUUUUCGUGGCGUACGGGUGAGUAAUACACAGGAAUCUGCCUUUUAGUUCAGGAUAAAAUUCUGAAUAACAAAAGAAAACUUUUCGCUAAAAGAUGAGCCUGUGUAGGAUUAGGUAGUUGGUAUUUGGGUAAAGGCCUACCAAGCCUAUGAUCCUUAGCUGUUCUGAGAGGUUGUACAGCCACACUGGGACUGAGACAAGGCCCAGGCUUCAUUUGGAGCCAGCAGUGAGGAAUUUUGGACAAUGAGCGAAAGCUUGAUCCAGCAAUACUACAUGAGUGAUGAAGGCUUUCAAGUUGUAAAACUCUUUGGUUGAGGAGGAUAAUGACAGUACUCAACAAAAUAGCCCCGGCUAACUUCGUGCCAGCAGCCGCGGUAAUACGAAGGGGGCGAGCGUUAUCCGGAAUGACUGGGCGUAAAGGGUCCGUAGGCAGCAUUUUUUGUUAGAGGUUAAAUAAAAAAGCUUAACUUUUUUCCGCUUCUAAAACGUAAAUGCUUUGAGUUUGAUAGGAGAUAGCAGAAUUUCACAUGGAGGGGUGAUAUCCGUAGAUAUGUGAAGGAAUACCAGAGGCGAAGGCGGCUAUCUAGAUCAAUACUGACGUUGAGGGACGAAAGCAUGGGGAGCAAACAGGAUUAGAUACCCUGGUAGUCCAUGCCCUAAAAGAUGAGUGCUCGUGCUUAGAUAUUUUUAGGCACUUAGUUAACACGUUAAGCACUCCGCCUGGGGAGUACGACCGCAAGGUUGGAACUCAAAGGAAUUGACGGGGGCCUAUACAAGUGGUGGAGCAUGUGGUUUAAUGCGACAAUACGCGCGAAACCUUACCAGUUCUUGACAUAAAAAAGAAAAAGUUUGAAAGGACAAUUUUUGAAGAUUUUUACAGGGUGCUGCAUGGCCUGUCGUCAGCUCGUGUCGUGAGAUGUUAGUUAACUCCUUUUAACGGGCGAACCCUUUUCUUAGUUGCCACUUAAAUUUAUUUUAA